rnacentral:rRNA from 1 species
AGUGAACGCUGGCGGUAGGCCUAACACAUGCAAGUCGAACGGCAGCACAGUAAGAGCUUGCUCUUACGGGUGGCGAGUGGCGGACGGGUGAGGAAUACAUCGGAAUCUACUUUUUCGUGGGGGAUAACGUAGGGAAACUUACGCUAAUACCGCAUACGACCUACGGGUGAAAGCAGGGGAUCUUCGGACCUUGCGCGAUUGAAUGAGCCGAUGUCGGAUUAGCUAGUUGGCGGGGUAAAGGCCCACCAAGGCGACGAUUCGUAGCUGGUCUGAGAGGAUGAUCAGCCACACUGGAACUGAGACACGGUCCAGACUCCUACGGGAGGCAGCAGUGGGGAAUAUUGGACAAUGGGCGCAAGCCUGAUCCAGCCAUACCGCGUGGGUGAAGAAGGCCUUCGGGUUGUAAAGCCCUUUUGUUGGGAAAGAAAAGCAGCAGGUUAAUACCCCGCUGUCCUGACGGUACCCAAAGAAUAAGCACCGGCUAACUUCGUG